rnacentral:ncRNA from 1 species
GAACGCCGUAUGAGUUCGAAAGUCUCACGUACGGUGUGGCAAGGGGGGAAAAGGUGGAGAUAAAUUCAAAUCCUUACCUAUCCGUAU